rnacentral:rRNA from 1 species
UGGCGGACGGGUGAGUAAUGUCUGGGAAACUGCCCGAUGGAGGGGGAUAACUACUGGAAACGGUAGCUAAUACCGCAUAACGUCGCAAGACCAAAGAGGGGGACCUUCGGGCCUCUUGCCAUCGGAUGUGCCCAUAUGGGAUUAGCUUGUAGGUAAGGUAACGGCUUACCUAGGCGACGAUCCCUAGCUGGUCUGAGAGGAUGACCAGCCACACUGGAACUGAGACACGGUCCAG